UGGGGAAUAUUGGGCAAUGGGCGAAAGCCUGACCCAGCAACGCCGCGUGAGUGAUGAAGGCCUUCGGGUUGUAAAACUCUUUGGACAGGGACGAAGAAAGUGACGGUACCUGUAGAACAAGCCACGGCUAACUACGUGCCAGCAGCCGCGGUAAUACGUAGGUGGCAAGCGUUGUCCGGAAUUAUUGGGCGUAAAGAGCUUGUAGGCGGUUCGUCGCGUCUGGUGUGAAAGCCCAUCGCUUAACGGUGGGUUUGCGCCGGGUACGGGAGGGCUAGAGUGCAGUAGGGGAGACUGGAAUUCCCGGUGUAACGGUGGAAUGUGUAGAUAUCGGGAAGAACACCAAUGGCGAAGGCAGGUCUCUGGGCUGUUACUGACGCUGAGAAGCGAAAGCGUGGGGAGCGAACAGG
rnacentral:rRNA from 1 species